rnacentral:lncRNA from 1 species
CGAGAUAAGUCUUCUAUCAAGAAGUUUCAGUCAGGGCCAUUUUGAUUAAUGAACAUCUCAGAGAAAAUAUUUUUGACUGUCCUAAAUCAGAAGACACUGGUGCAUUCAAUAAUUCCUCCACAUCAGACACCUCACUCCAAGUCGGCUAUAAAGGUAAGCUGAUUCUAAAAACAUAAAUAGGAGUUAGAGGAUCUCUUAAAGAACUGUUCCUUUUAUCCUGACAAUAACCACAAACACAAUAAUAUAGCCUUCCCUUCAGUUUUUAGUCACGGCUGUGACAGGCAUACAGUCUGCAUUAUAUUUAGAUAAAUGUUACCUUUC